GGUAGAAUUGCUGGGUCACAGGGUAACCCUACACUUAGCCUUCUGAGGAACUGCUAAACUAUUUUCCAAAGAGGUUGAGCUGUUUUAUAGUCCCCCCAGCAGU
rnacentral:pre_miRNA from 1 species